rnacentral:lncRNA from 1 species
UCUGUAGUCCACAGAUGUGUCUCUUGUGACCCAGGCUGCAUUCCUGUUGACUCUGGUGGAAAGUCAUUGCUCACUCUAUUUGCUGUCUUUGAGCUUGCGGGAUCUUAGUUUCCCAACCAGGCCUCAUCAGUGAAAGUGCAGAGUCCUAACCACUGGACUGCCAGGGAAUUCCCAUUUUUUUCAUUCUUACCAGCAGUGUAUGAGAGCUCCAUUUCUUCCACAUCCUGGUAUUUGUAAACUUCAUCCUGGAGGACUAGAGACAGCCCAGUCGAGAGGA